rnacentral:rRNA from 1 species
AGCGAACGCUGGCGGCAGGCUUAACACAUGCAAGUCGAGCGGGCACUUUCGGGUGUCAGCGGCGGACGGGUGAGUAACGCGUGGGAACGUGCCCUCUGGUUCGGAAUAACUCAGGGAAACUUGAGCUAAUACCGGAUACGCCCUUUUGGGGAAAGGCUUGCUGCCGGAGGAUCGGCCCGCGUCUGAUUAGCUAGUUGGUGAGGUAACGGCUCACCAAGGCGACGAUCAGUAGCUGGUCUGAGAGGAUGAUCAGCCACACUGGGACUGAGACACGGCCCAGACUCCUACGGGAGGCAGCAGUGGGGACUAUUGGACAAUGGGCGCAAGCCUGAUCCAGCCAUGCCGCGUGAGUGAUGAAGGCCUUAGGGUUGUAAAGCUCUUUUAUCCGGGACGAUAAUGACGGUACCGGAGGAAUAAGCCCCGGCUAACUUCGU